rnacentral:rRNA from 1 species
GAAAGGCUCAUUAAAACAGCUAUAAUUUACUCGAUUUUGACUAUCUAAACGGAUAACUGCGAAAAAUUUGGAGCUAAUACGUGCACCUAAGCAAGAUCCUCUGGAGCUUGCGCACUUAUUAGAUGAAGACCAAUCAGGGCAACCUGUUUUGGUGACUCUGAAUAAUUUCGCUGAUCGCAUGGUCUUGUACCGGCGACGGAUCGAUCGAGUUUCUGCCCUAUCAACUGUCGAUGGAAGUCCAUGUGACUGCCAUGGUUGUAACGGGUAACGGAGGAUCAGGGUUCGACUCCGGAGAGGGAGCCUGAGAAACGGCUACCACAUCCAAGGAAGGCAGCAGGCGCGUAAAUUACCCACUCUCAAUUCGAGGAGGUAGUGACUAUCAAUAACGAGACAGAUCUCUAUGAGGCCUGUUAUCGGAAUGGAUACAAUAUAAAUCC